UGGGUGAGGUGGCUUCUCUCAAUACUUC
rnacentral:piRNA from 1 species